rnacentral:rRNA from 1 species
AACCGGAUUAGAUACCCUGGUAGUCCACGCCGUAAACGAUGUCGACUUGGAGGCUGUUCCCUUGAGGAGUGGCUUCCGGAGCUAACGCGUUAAGUCGACCGCCUGGGGAGUACGGCCGCAAGGUUAAAACUCAAAUGAAUUGACGGGGGCCCGCACAAGCGGUGGAGCAUGUGGUUUAAUUCGAUGCAACGCGAAGAACCUUACCUGGCCUUGACAUCCAGAGAACUUUCCAGAGAUGGAUUGGUGCCUUCGGGAACUCUGAGACAGGUGCUGCAUGGCUGUCGUCAGCUCGUGUUGUGAAAUGUUGGGUUAAGUCCCGCAACGAGCGCAACCCUUAUCCUUUGUUGCCAGCGAUUCGGUCGGGAACUCAAAGGAGACUGCCGGUGAUAAACCGGAGGAAGGUGGGGAUGACGUCAAGUCAUCAUGGCCCUUACGGCCAGGGCUACACACGUGCUACAAUGGCGCAUACAAAGAGAAGCGACCUCGCGAGAGCAAGCGGACCUCAUAAAGUGCGUCGUAGUCCGGAUCGGAGUCUGCAACUCGACUCCGUGAAGUCGGAAUCGCUAGUAAUCGUGGAUCAGAACGCCACGGUGAAUACGUUCCCGGGCCUUGUACACACCGCCCGUCACACCAUGGGAGUGGGUUGCAAAAGAAGUAGGUAGCUUAACCUUCGGGAGGGCGCUUACCACUUUGUGAUUCAUGACUGGGGUGAAGUCGUAACAAGGUAAC